rnacentral:ncRNA from 2 species
CCGCCCUGCCCGGGGUGCGCAAUGGUUGCGCUGAGAUGGAUUCCGAACCCGCGAACUUGAUCUGGUUCAUACCAGCGUAAGAAGUGCAACGCAGCCGACGG